UCCCGUUUGUUCUCACUUCUCAGCACACCAGUUCAUAACUCCAUACACAUACAGCUUGGUUUCAUGGCAACCUGAAACCGCCAAUUAUUAACACAUAAACAGAAUCCAAACAUGUUGAGCAAACCAGCACAAAUAUGACAUGUCCCUUGGCAAACAUUACCAGAAGAAAACAAACACACUCAUCACAAAGCACGAUACAAUACCACAAACUGAGAGGGCAACUUAAUUGUGUGCUUGUUGGCACAGAGCUCUGCAUCUGAAACCAAACUGAUCACCUGAGAUAGCUUUCAAUGAUAUGUUUCUUGCGUGAUACAAACUCUGGUGGUGCCACAUGCAAGUUGUAGUAACUCUGCUCUGGUAGCUUCAACUGCAACCUGUUCCACCACUCACGCUCUCCGUUGACUCUCACCUCGUACUUUGGAUAUUUCUUCUUCAUCAGGAAUGGGAGAUGGCGAAAGGAUUGGCAACCCCGGACAAAGAGCUUCUCCCACUUUGGCGUUUCAAGCUGAAAUUUAACAACAUCAUGGAUGUGCAGCAGUUGUGGAAGCUCCUGGAGGUAGAUACUUUUGAUGCUUGGGAGUGGAGAAGGUGCUACCCUAGAUCCCUGUUUGUAGAAAAUUGUCUUGUGGUUGGGGCAGAAGAGAAUGACCAGAGUCUCCAGUGCAGGUAAUGAUAAACUACGUGGGAACAUUUUCUCCAGUCGUGGGCAGUGCUCCAGGUGAAUGUGUUUUAGUAGCUUCAAAGUGAUAAGCUUGCCAUAAUACCAAGGCACAACAUGCUCAACAAUGCAUAGGAGGUUGUUAAGGCAGGAGGCCUGCAGUAUCCUUAGGGAAUGUAAUAUCUCUGAUUUUCAAUAGUACUGUUAUUUGAUUGCACUGAAGGAGCUGGCAUUCUUCUAGUGUCAUGAGACUAUUACUGAGGUCAGUGAGGCAUCUGACGAAAUUAUCAUCUGUAAUGAAUAUUGAGUUUGUCACAGAGAGAAUAUGCCUUAAGCCAUUUGGGUACUGAUUCACAGCUGAUAUCUCAACAUGACGUUGUUUUGGCUGAAGCUUCAUUGCCGACACAAUACUAGCAGCCUUAGAAUACAGGACAUCACCAUAAGUUGAAUUCUUCUGGAUCCUAGUAGAUAACUCAGCUUCAUUGUUCUGUGGCUUCUUGCCUGUCACACUGCAUGGUUUAACUUGGACAUUGAAUGACUGUAGAAACUGUCCUUGGUUGACUAACUUUUUAGCAGUAUCUUCAUUGAAGCUAUGGAACAUUCUGGGGUCAUUUAUUUUGACCUGAGCAGUAUUGGUAGUUUUCUCUUCCUGCUGAUUUUCAUCUCCACAAGUCUUCAGCUGGCAACACAUCUUCAGAAUUCUAUUAUCAUCAUUUGCACAGUGAUCCAAAUAGAAAACCUUAGGAAACCGGACCAACUGAUGCCAUGGGAAUCUCAUGAAACAAGGGACGCCAAGAAGAAGUAACUUGUUGAGUUGUGGUAGAUUUGGGAGGUUGUGAGGGACCUCCUCAAUAGCAGUUCCAGAAAGAUCAACAUCCUCCAACGCUGUAAGAUCAUCACUGAAGUUCACAGAUUUGAGGUUGCUGCACCCACGCAGGGACAGGCACCUAACCCAUGGUCCGGAGAGCGAGAAGGUUCUCAAAUUUGGGUGCCCAAGAAUCUUGAUAUCUUCCAAUGCUUCCCAUGCUCGUAUAUUAAGGUUUUCCAUGAAUGAUGGUAGUUCCCAUAUAUUCUGAAGCAUUAACCCAGUGCAGUUAGAGAUAUGUAGCUCUUUGAGGCCUUUGGCUUUAGACAGCGACUUCAGGAGUGACUUUAAGCUACUGCAAUUAUAGACAUGUAGCACUUCCAGGACCUUGGCUUCAGAAAUGGAUAUUGGUAAUGACAUCAAUAGCAGGUUGUUGAUUAACCUGAGUGUAUGCAGGCUUUGCAUUUUUUGGAACAUGUCCACUGGAAAAGAGGUAAUCUGAGUCCCCUCGACAUGAAGAACCAACAGAUUUGACAGUUGAGCCAUUGAAGGAGGUAACUCUCUGAGAUUGGAGCAAUUACCGAAAAUGAGCUCCUCAAGGCUUGACAUUUCACAGAAGAAUUCAGAAGGCAGGGUGGUGACCUUUGAGCCUGAUAGGUCAAGGUAGUGCAGAUUGCUCUUGUUACUGCCAUCUUCUUGUGUUAGGUCAACCAGGGGAACCCCAUUCAUAUCUAGGACUUGAAGGUUUUCAAGAUGAGCAAGCGGUGAGGAUGUUUCUUUGUCAGAAUUUGGUGGUGGUGGAGACAAGGUUUCUAGCAGGGAACAGCCUCUGAGCGAGAGCAAGUAGAGAUUCAACAGAGAUGAAAAGGAAUAAGGGAGUGAAUUUAUAGGUGUGUAGGACAAAUCAAGGACACGGAGGUGUGGGGUGAACAAUUUCUCGAAGGAAAAUUCAGAUAAAUUUGAACAGCCUCUCAAAAUAAGGGUUGUCAUUAUUAUAACUCCAUCUCCUCUGGUAUCCCUCGGCUCCCAAUCCCAGCUUACAUCCCUACCAUAAUCAUUCAUAAAUGAGACCCAUCUUAGUUUGUAGUACUCGAAAUAGGUAUUGAGUCCAUCUUGUUCGAGACGUGAGACACCCCUAGCUAACUUUGACAGGCCAGUGAUGACAUCCUGUGGGGAUGACGAAUAAGUAGUUUCCUUACUUGAUGAAGCCCUUACUGUUGUGUUAGAAACAGCAGAGUAGAUUGGCAGCAAUGAAUAUUCCUGCAAGGCCUGAAUCACGACCUUCCCAGCUUCAUUUGCAGACCUGUAGUAGUUGCUCUUUUUCUUGCCAAUGGCUGCUGGCGUAUGGGUGGAGAUUGCUGUUGAGAAAAGCAGGUCCUCAGCCACCCAACAGCGAACCAGCUCAUCGGAGGUAACAACAGCUGGGGAGGCCUGGCGUCCAGCAGCUCCUUCUCCUUGUAGCGGAUGGUAGAGGAUAGCAUAAUACAGGCAUUGCUGAGCUACAUGGAGCCAAAACUCCUCGUCUCCUUUGUCCUGGAGUGUGAGUGUCAUAUAAAUGGAUCUGGCUGCAUCCCGUAAGGCCUCUUUAAUCAACACAGCCCAAUCUCGCACACCGAGAUCAUCAAAAGGCGGGGCGUAGAAAUAUUCUGGAGUUAAAUGAACUCGCUCUGAGUGAUUGAAAUCAUGAAAUCCUUGAGCAUAUCUGCUUUUUUCACAGACAUCCUUGGAAGUGGCUGAGAUGAGCCACCGCCGGUUUCGGAAUAUCGAUGGCCAUCGCUUGCCCAGUAUGAAAACCAACAUGUCCAUUGAGACGGGAACAUGCAGGUUUUCCACUAGCAGCAGGUGCUUCUUCCCUUCCAAUGCUUCCCCGAUCCUCUCUAGUACUGGAGAAAUUCUUGGUUGACAAUGGAAGAUAGGAUCCGUCUUUACAGAUUCAUCUGAUGCAAACAACUCAAUGUACCUGCAUCCAAAAGCCUGGAGCUUCAGGUAGUCUGAGAUUCUGCCGUAGCCAAAGUAGCUCUCUUCUGCGGCAAGUUGCUUGAGCUCCUCAAGUUGCUCACUGUCACCGUCAAGCAUUAAUAUUUCGGUGAGGACCUGAAAUGCCAACCGAUGCUGGGCUGUACUGCUGCUUGCAGCUUCAGCGGGUGUCUGCCUCACGCGUGUAAUGUGGUCAUAGGGACCAUAGAGUUCCUUGGUUCGCUCAAACAAGAGCCUGGUAAGAGUCGGUACAAAUGAAGCUGCAGAUCCAAUUCCGACAUUCCAUAUCACUGGGUACUCCUUGCUCCAUUUC
rnacentral:lncRNA from 1 species